rnacentral:rRNA from 1 species
GUAAACCUCUUUCAGCAGGGAAGAAGCGAAAGGGACGGUACCUGCAGAAGAAGCGCCGGCUAACUACGUGCCAGCAGCCGCGGUAAUACGUAGGGCGCAAGCGUUGUCCGGAAUUAUUGGGCGUAAAGAGCUCGUAGGCGGCUUGUCACGUCGGUUGUGAAAGCCCGGGGCUUAACCCCGGGUCUGCAGUCGAUACGGGCAGGCUAGAGUUCGGUAGGGGAGAUCGGAAUUCCUGGUGUAGCGGUGAAAUGCGCAGAUAUCAGGAGGAACACCGGUGGCGAAGGCGGAUCUCUGGGCCGAUACUGACGCUGAGGAGCGAAAGCGUGGGGAGCGAACAGGAUUAGAUACCCUGGUAGUCCACGCCGUAAACGGUGGGCACUAGGUGUGGGCAACAUUCCACGUUGUCCGUGCCGCAGCUAACGCAUUAAGUGCCCCGCCUGGGGAGUACGGCCGCAAGGCUAAAACUCAAAGGAAUUGACGGGGGCCCGCACAAGCGGCGGAGCAUGUGGCUUAAUUCGACGCAACGCGAAGAACCUUACCAAGGCUUGACAUACACCGGAAAACCCUGGAGACAGGGUCCCCCUUGUGGU